UGGGGAAUUUUGGACAAUGGGCGAAAGCCUGAUCCAGCAAUGCCGCGUGUGUGAAGAAGGCCUUCGGGUUGUAAAGUACUUUUGUCCGGAAAGAAAUCCUUGGCUCUAAUACAGUCGGGGGAUGACGGUACCGGAAGAAUAAGCACCGGCUAACUACGUGCCAGCAGCCGCGGUAAUACGUAGGGUGCAAGCGUUAAUCGGAAUUACUGGGCGUAAAGCGUGCGCAGGCGGUUUGCUAAGACCGAUGUGAAAUCCCCGGGCUCAACCUGGGAACUGCAUUGGUGACUGGCAGGCUAGAGUAUGGCAGAGGGGGGUAGAAUUCCACGUGUAGCAGUGAAAUGCGUAGAGAUGUGGAGGAAUACCGAUGGCGAAGGCAGCCCCCUGGGCCAAUACUGACGCUCAUGCACGAAAGCGUGGGGAGCAAACAGGAUUAGAUACCCUGGUAGUCCACGCCCUAAACGAUGUCAACUAGUUGUUGGGGAUUCAUUUCCUUAGUAACGUAGCUAACGCGUGAAGUUGACCGCCUGGGGAGUACGGUCGCAAGAUUAAAACUCAAAGGAAUUGACGGGGUCAUAGCUGUUUCCU
rnacentral:rRNA from 1 species